rnacentral:lncRNA from 13 species
UUCGUUUUUUUCUGUAUAAGUAAUUCGAUAGUUGAAAAACUUAACUUGAUGGUUUACAUAAUCGAUAUUACUACUCAAAUGUAAAAGGAAAGCAAAGAAGCUAGGCGUCUUUGUAGUUAAAAUUAAUUUCGAUAUUUUAAUAAAUCAUUAUCGAGAAUAUUUUACUUUUGUUCAUGUUUCAAUAUUAUGAAAGAUAUAACGAUCAAUGUUUGUUAUUUGGAGCAUUUUAUACUAGUUCCCAGAAUUAUUUAUCGAUCAUAAUCAUUCAUUGCUUCAAGUGCUCGGAGAGCGGCCUUGCGAGGAUCAUCAUGAAUCAUCAUGUUUACCUCAACAUAAAAUCACAAAGGGUUAAUGGAUAUAAGUAUUGUAUGUGUUUGUGACACAUUCGCCGACAAAGAUCUGAAGAAGAUUGACGAGACGCUAUUGAUGUAAAUAUAAUCCCGAUUUUAGAAGCCCACUUCUCUCUCUCUCUCUCUCCCCCGCAAUGAAUACACAACGCGUAUUUGAAGUACGAUUUUGCAAAAGUGGAUGCACACGCGCGGAGAUCCUACGAAUGAAUUUUGGACCAAAGCUAAGUAAGCGAGAUAUCUCUCUCUCCGUUUUGUCGUUGUGCGGGUAUGUGGAAGACGGAUGUACGUAUGCGAAGAUAUUGGUGUGAGUAGAUACGUGCGUUCUCCCUUCAGUUAUACAGGGUGUUCUUUCGAUUCAGUUUCAGGUAUGAAGAAUAAAAAUGCAUUGACCACCGAAAUUUUAGAUCAAACGAAAAAGAAGCGUGAAAAAAUCGCUGGGAUUGAAGUCUCAUUUUUCGAAGGACAAUCAAAGUUUACUUUCUUCAUCUGCAUCUUGUUAAGCAAGAUUUACAAUUAAUAACAAAAACGUAGAAAUUACAACGAGACAGAAUGCUCCAAUGUUUACGGAUAGCUUUUGGAGAGGAUUUGAACUAUUAAAUGUUCGGCGAUAAUUUGCGAAUUUUAAUAAUUAAUUCGUUUUAUGUUUGUCACUCGGUUUCCUUGUCUUUUCUUUCGCUGAGGACAUUUGUGUGUAUGUGUGUACAUGCACGCAGGCGCAGGCAGCUGUCACCUUACACCCAUGGAGGAGGAGGCAUGGGGCUGCGGCGGCCAUUCUCAACUUAUCUCUAGGAUCUUUGUAAACAUGUCGUGAAAUCCGAGUAUUUAGGCAGUGGCGUAGAUCGCGGGGUGGAAAGGAUCUAUCGGGCGGUCCCGAUGAGGAACUAGAAGAAUCGAACGAUCAUCAGCAGCCCCAGGAUGAUUUCAACGAAUACAAAUUUCGAAUGCUUUCGGAUGUGCAAAAAUCACCCCCAUGCCCGUUUGCGAGAUUCUGAGCGUCAAGACUCGCCAGACAAGAACCACAGCAACGUGAAACAUAAUACAAGUUGCACCAGCCAGUCCUAAGCUCAGCCAUGCGAAGCAGGCAGCCAGCGGCUAAGGAACGCGACGUACGAAUCAGAUUACAUCUUGCGUUGGCUGCUUAUCUUUAUUCUUCACCUUACAUCGCCUCAAUUCACCUCAUUUCGCUUCAGUGACCAACCCUUCGAUCAAUUUAUAACAACGCCCGGAUGCACGAUCACGAUGAACAGAUAUUUUCGAGAGAAAAUUUUUGGAUAAUAAUUUUCUAUAGGAUGUCUAAAAAGGUUAAAGUAACACAAUAUGACAAUAAUUGAGAACUUUUUAGUAAAAAAAAUUUAUUAAAAACUAUUUUGAUAAUUAUUGUAUCGGUUUCCUGUUUGUUAUUAAUCAUUUUUAGUACACUGUAUAUUUUAUCAGAGAAUAGCGAAUAAUAAAACGAGACAGUAUUACAAUGAAGA